CACAACGUGCUACAAUGGCCGGUACAAAGGGCUGCAAGACCGCGAGGUGGAGCGAAUCCCAAAAAGCCGGUCCCAGUUCGGAUUGGAGGCUGAAACUCGCCUCCGUGAAGUUGGAGUUGCUAGUAAUCGCGGAUCAGCAAUGCCGCGGUGAAUACGUUCCCGGGCCUU
rnacentral:rRNA from 1 species